CUAAGUCGUAUGCUUAUCUCAAAGAUUCAAUCAUGCAUGUACAAGUAUGAACUAAGUCAAACUGUGAAACUUUGAAUGACUUAUUAAAUCACCUAUAAUUUGUUUGAUCGUACUUGCUAUUUGAAUAAUCAUAGUAAUUCUAGAGCUAAUAUGUGCAACAAACCCGCCUUCUGUAAGGAACACAAUUAUUAGAAAAAAGGUCAACGCAAAACUAGUUCAUUGCUCUAAGGAUUCAUGAUAACAUGAAAGAUCGAACAAUCUUUGUGUCGGCAACACAUCAAUCAAAUUUCUAUGGUGGUGAUGGGGGAUGGAGAAUUAGGGUUUGAUUCUUGAGAGCUACCUUGAGAAAUGGCUACCACAUCCAAGAAAGGUAUGAGGUACACAAAUUACCCAAUCCUAACAAGCGAGGUAUUGAAAAAAAUAAUAAUAUUAGGCUCUUUGAGUUUGGUAAUUGUAAUAAGUACAAUCUAAAUUCCUUAACAAGAUUCUAUUGGAGGCCAAGUCUAGUGCUAAUUCCAGCUCCAACAAUGUAUAUUUAAGUUGUUGUAUUUAAAUAGUUUGUAGUAGGUGUGCAGCGUUAGUCUCAUCCUUUCUUUUGGCGAUGCUUUCCUAGCUUUAAUUGGCUGAGUCAUUCCUCCAGUGCUGUUACUUUGAAGAAAUUAUAGUGCUUAAUGCAAGUUUUUGCACUAUAUCUAUUAGCAUUAGAUAAUGUCAUAGGAUUUUGAUCCUAUUAUAUUGGCCUUCAGGAUCAGAACAAUGAUAAAUAUGGACAAUCAGGGGCAUUUGUAUUUCAUAGUUAGAUGUAAAAUUCUUGAAAUGAUGAAAGACGAACAGUUGGGAAAGUAUUUUCCAAGGAUAUUUUCUCAACUGAAGAGUGAAAAUUGGGGGCUCGAAGGCAAUCAAAUACUUUCCUACUCUCAACCAUAAACGAUGGUGACUCGAAAUCAGCAAAAACUAUUAAUAGGACAUCACCUGCAACUUUUGACUGAAAGAGGAGUUUGGUCGCAAGACUGAAACAUAGUAAAGGCACCACCAAGAGUGGACAUGCAGAUCAAUUUGACUGAACAUAGGAAAACUUACUAGAUCUAGACAUUGUAAGAAUUGAUAGACUAUAAGAAUUUGAUGGAGCAAUGUUCUGGCUAAUUUCGUUUAUGAACGUGGCCUCAACUUACUAACUAGCUAUAUAGAGGUGACCCUCUGCGACCAUCUUCUAAGACGGACUAUGGCCACUUAGGGUGAGGAUGUUUGAGGCAAUAACAAGCUGUGAUGUCAAUAGAUAUUAUGGAUUGCAUUGGUGCUAGACUGAUGUAUUAAAUGAGCAUAUAUCUUUGGUUGACAUGAGAGGAAAAUCUUUGAAAUUUCAAUGUGAUGGGGAUAGCUUCCAGCAAUUGUUUGUCUUAAAUGAGGAAUUCCAAGUAAGUGCAAGUCAUCAGCUUUCAUUGACAAAGUCCCUAUUCUGUGUACACAACUCUUCUCACUCCUACUGAUUAUAUGGUCGGGUAAAGUGUUCGGAUCAUGGAAAGGUGGGUAGUUCCCUGCUUGCCGCAUUGCAAGAAGUCAACUCAACCUUAUCAUUUAUAGGAAGGUGAACCUAUGGUAAGAUCAUUUGACGAUUUAGGGAAAA
rnacentral:rRNA from 1 species